rnacentral:rRNA from 1 species
UGUAGUAGAUCAGUACUCCCUCAGGCUGUGAACUCAUCAGCUCUCAUGAGUCGAACAAGGUUGGGGCUGGUCAGUACUUGGAUUGGAGACCUCCAAGGAAAUCCCAGGGGCUGCUGGAU